GUUUUUUUUUGGUUUUUUUUUCAUGUUACU
rnacentral:sRNA from 1 species